AUGCUCUUUGCGGAUGAUGUGGUGCUAGUUGACGAUAGUCGGACGGGGGUAAAUAGGAAGUUAGAGUUAUGGAGACAAACCUUGGAAUCAAAAGGGUUUAGGCUUAGUAGAACUAAAACCAAGUACAUGAUGUGCGGUUUCAGUACUACUAGGUGUGAGGAGGAGGUUAGCCUUGAUGGCCAGGUGGUACCUCAGAAGGACACCUUUCGGUAUUUGGGGUCAAUGCUGCAGGAGGAUGGGGGUAUUGAUGAAGAUGUGAACCAUCGAAUCAAAGCCGGAUGGAUGAAGUGGCGCCAAGCUUCUGGCAUUCUCUGUGACAAGAGAGUGCCACAAAAGCUAAAAGGCAAGUUCUACAGGACGGCGGUUCGACCCGCAAUGUUGUAUGGCGCUAAGUGUUGGCCGACUAAAAGGCGACAUGUUCAACAGUUAGGUGUAGCGGAGAUGCGUAUGUUGAGAUGGAUGUGUGGCCACACGAGGAAGGAUCGAGUCCGGAAUGAUGAUAUACGAGAUAGAGUUGGGGUAGCACCAAUUGAAGAGAAGCUUGUCCAACAUCGUCUGAGAUGGUUUGGGCAUAUUCAGCGCAGGCCUCCAGAAGCUCCGGUGCAUAGUGGACGGCUAAGCGUGCGGAGAAUGUCAAGAAAGGGCGGGGUAGACCGAAUUUGA
rnacentral:rRNA from 1 species